UGACGCUUCAGUUGGAGUACAGGAACUACACAACAUAUUUGCUGUAUUGGUUAGAAUAUACCACAGUAUCUGUACCAGCAACCAAGACCAUGCUUUCAGAAAUUGGAAAACUAUUCCAGCUCCUCUUUUCUGCCACAUUAAUAGCAAGAAAUGAAGCCAAAGAAAUUCUUCCUGUCAGUAUCUUCCAAACAUGUUUUGACUAUCAGCAUUCCCAAGAUAACCUUUUUAGAGAAUAUGCUUCUGUUUCUUUCUCCCACUAGUUUCAUUUUCAUAUUACCACAGAUGGAGUUUUGUCCAUAACUGAAAGUACCUUUCUCCCAGAGAGCACUGCAGAAAGAUGCAGUGGAGACAGUACCACAAGGCAAACCAAGAUGGUUUCUUUGAAAGAUGUUUCACAAUCCUAAGUAGGGCUGGUUGAGUAAUCCCAUUUAAGAUCCAUUAACCACUGUAUUCAUGCUAAUAGAUUAACAUAUGUUUGCAAUUUCUGAUGUAUUUUCUCUGAAAAAUGUUUCUCAGCAAAUUUCUGGUACGGUUCAUUUCUUUUUCAUGUAUCAUUUAGGUCUGAAACAUUUUAGAGCAUUGAAUACAUCGCAGAAUAAGUUAGUAUUGACUAAAUAUAAUUUUAAUAACAGUUUUAGUAUGUAUGCUGCCUUCAGAAACAUGAAAUUUCUGCCCAUAAGGAAUAUACGUAGUAGAGCCCUUGGAAAUAACAAGUGUCUUUACAUAUGAAAGUGAGGCCCUCUUGUGACCAUUUAGGUAAGAGCACACAUUUCACUGCAGUUGAUGUUCUUUGGUUGUGUUUAAAUACUUUUAAUGCAGCUGAAAUUUUAUAGAAUGUCCAUGUGCCCAAAGAAACAAAGAUGAUAUUAGAAAUUAAGAAAUGCUACUGUUCUCAUUUUCUUCAGUUCUACAGUGAAGCACAUUGAUAUGUCAUCCCUUAAGAUUAAUUUUAAAAAAAGAAUAUUUGGGAGAACAGAAAUUUACAGCCUUCUGAUGAGACAUUACAUGUUUGAUUUUCCUUAAUCAUGGUUCUAAAGGCUAGGGAAUGCGUUCUGCUAAGGGGUCACACUCUGCUCAUCCCAUAGGGUUUGUUCUACAGCAAGGUUUGGUUCAAUCCCGGGUAGAAUAUAUUUUUUUUAAAUCCCUGAUUUUAUCAUAAAUGAGCUUGGAGGUCCAAGUUUAAAUCUUGAUUCAUAAAGUUGAAUUUCUGAGUUUCUCAUUAACUGUUUACUCAAGCAAAGAUUUCAUUUUCACUGAAAUUGAAUGUACAUUGCAGAAAUAAUAGCUCUUUGUAAGAUGAAAAUGCCAAAAUUUGAAGAAAUAUUUGAGGUUGUAUGUAUGUAUUAUCUUUACACUUUUGUUAUUUGUUUAAUAUUUCUUGGAACAUGAAUGGAUUUUAUAGGCAAUACUGACCCCACCAAGAGGAUGCAAAAUGUUAAGUUUCAGAUGAAUAAGUCUGAAAUGUGGGUAUAAAAGUAGCCUUUACAAUUUAGGGAUUUCCAAAAAAGUUUUGAAUUAUUCCCAUAUUUUGUUCACAGCCGUUUUAAAAUGAUACUUGGCAAAGAAA